UACGUAGGGGGCGAGCGUUGUCCGAAGUUACUGGGCGUAAAGCGCACGUAGGCGGAUUUGUAAGUCAGGGGUGAAAUCCCGGGGCUCAACCUCGGAACUGCCUUUGAUACUGCAAAUCUCGAGUCCGGAAGAGGUGAGUGGAAUUCCUAGUGUAGAGGUGAAAUUCGUAGAUAUUAGGAAGAACACCAGUGGCGAAGGCGGCUCACUGGUCCGGUACUGACGCUGAGGUGCGAAAGCGUGGGGAGCAAACAGG
rnacentral:rRNA from 1 species